rnacentral:misc_RNA from 1 species
CAUGCUUUUUACACCGCGGCAUACAUGCAGCUCACUCAUCUCAGCAUAAAUAUGAGCUCCGCUGACUGCUGCUAAUUGCUCUUUCAAGCAGUUAAGCAUUAGGACCCCCCAAGCACGCCGCGUCGCCUCCUUGAUGCCAUCGGAAUCGCCGACGACACUCCUGAGCACCGCCAGAAGUUGUACGUCUUCUAGCCCUUUGUUCAAUUUUAUUGUUAUUAAUUGCUCCUCCUUGAUUCAUUACCACUUGUAACGGUUCCUUCCCCUAAACCCAGCUUCUCAUCCAGACCUCCACAGACCCACGAAAACCACCUUCCAUAGAGACAAUUUUUAGAGUCUUCCCAUCUCAACGCCAUACCACUAGUACACAGACCCAUUUCUCGAUGCCACAAGAAAUUCAUUUGUUCGAAUGUGUAUAUUAAUACCCUUGCUAUCAAGGGAAUCGAUUUGGGUAAUUUUGAUAAUAUUGUAUGGAGGAAUUUGUGUUGGAUGUUGGGAGGAACGCUGUAUAUUCAUAAUUUUGAGUUUGGGGUGAGUUAUUAGAAUCAAAUUGGACUAAAUGGUUGUAUUCCUACAGAGAUAUUUAGUUCAUUGGUUUUCAUGGCUGUAAAUGAGGAAGCUUGAAUUGUGGGUAUGGAAGAAGCAGCAACAAAAAUAGAUGGAUGUGUGU